rnacentral:rRNA from 1 species
CCUACGGGAGGCUGCAGUGAGGAAUAUUGGUCAAUGGACGAGAGUCUGAACCAGCCAAGUAGCGUGAAGGAUGACUGCCCUAUGGGUUGUAAACUUCUUUUAUAUGGGAAUAAAAUGUUCCACGUGUGGGAUUUUGUAUGUACCAUAUGAAUAAGGAUCGGCUAACUCCGUGCCAGCAGCCGCGGUAAUACGGAGGAUCCGAGCGUUAUCCGGAUUUAUUGGGUUUAAAGGGAGCGUAGGUGGAUUGUUAAGUCAGUUGUGAAAGUUUGCGGCUCAACCGUAAAAUUGCAGUUGAAACUGGCAGUCUUGAGUAAAGUAGAGGUGGGCGGAAGUCGUGGUGUAGCGGUGAAAUGCUUAGAUAUCACGAAGAACUCCGAUUGCGAAGGCAGUUCACUGGACUGCAACUGACACUGAGGCUCGAAAGUGUGGGUAUCAAACAGGAUUAGAUACCCCAGUAGUC